AAGACUAUACUUUCAGGGAUCAUUUCUAUAGUUCGUUACUAGAGAAGUUUCUCUGAACGUGUAGAGCACGGCAAAAAGUGGGUGAAGGACGUGAACAGACACUU
ensembl:snoRNA U3 Small nucleolar RNA U3